rnacentral:lncRNA from 1 species
UGACUAUGAGUCUGAUAACUGAUUGCGUAUGAAUAUGAGAUAAAUAUGGGCAGCUCUAACCUAUAGUUGGAAAUAUAAUAAUUGAAAUAUAAUCGACUUACCCAAAAAAAAGAAACAUAACGGAUUAUAUAAUAAAUACGUAGGAAAAAACUUAGGAUUGCUAGUUUUUUUCUUGUUGAAAAAAAGAAAGUCACUAGGGAGCGAUGUUUGGUGUCCACAGACCAAAUAUCUGAAAUUAUUGGCCUACCAA